rnacentral:tRNA from 1 species
AAAAGCUUAAGUUAGAUUAAACUAAGGGCCUUCAAAGCCCUAAACAAGGACUUAUACCCCUUAGCUUUUG